UUCAACUUUCGGUUAACAAAAUUAAAUUGGUUUUACGUUUCCGUCAGCUUUGUAAGACUUAUAUUUAAAAAAGUGAUCGGUUAAAUUAUAAGGAUUAAAAAAAAAAGAACUUAAUGUGACGGCAGUGCUUAUUUUGAAUUAUAUCUUUUAAAUAUUUUCAUAUAUUUUUAAUAUUCAUAUUAUUAAUUUAUUUACAAAAAUUGUCGGUCAAAUUAAUGGGUAGUUUUAUAAGAAAUAUCUAAAUAAGACAAUGGUGAACCUUUUAAAAAAUUCUUGAAAAUGAUCUUACUUUUAUUAUCUGAAGGUUAAAUCAGGUAAUCAAUUAAAUGAUGUAUAAUAAUUAAUUACACUUACUAGAACCAACCGAUUUAUUACCACUGAAUCUCCUUUACGAGAAAUAUUAAAUUUUGUACGGAACACUUAUUGCACUUGUACGGCUCUACUGUUUUACGGAUACAGUAGAAUCCGGUUAUAACGACUCCGCUUAUAGCGUCAGUCCGGUUAUUGCGACGGAAACUCGAUAGCUUGGUUGGUCUCCAUACAAAGUUGUAUGAAAGGACCUCCGGUUAGUACGUCCCCGCUUUAAGCAGCAAACCGCUUAUACCGACGAGAUUUUUCGUAGUUCAACCGGAUAUUGAGACGUGCCAAACAACAACAAGAGUGAACGCUAUAGUCGAGUUCGCCGACUAUCUGAUACCCGUUACUCAGCUGGUGGAAGUGCAAAGGAGAAAUUUCCAUACUGACAGUUUUUGGCGUGCGUCUUCCGGGUAUAACGACGUAAAAUCGUCGGUCCCUUGAAAGUCGCUACAACCGGAUUAUACUGUAUAUGCAAAAGUUUCCUUGCGCACCACGCUAUCGUUGCUCUCCUACACUACGUGGACUGCCGUCUAAAAGAUACUUUAUCAUUAGGGACAAACACGGGAGUCCGCAUGGACCAUUUUGGCGUAUUUUGUGCAACAUAAAUUUUAAUAAUAAAUUAUUGUAUAAAUCUA